rnacentral:lncRNA from 1 species
UGCUCGUUUUCUCCGGAGCCAGUGAGAGGGCAGGGAGCAGGGUGGGAUGGAGAGGUGCGCUGGAUGCUUGCUGCAGGAGGAUGUUGCGCACUUCAAUUUACCUCAGUGGUCUGUGCAUCCAUGCGAAGCACGGGCAUGUCCAUCUGUUGUGAUUUGGAAACACGGAGAACCUCUCUUCAUGUCAGAACCUCAAACUGACAGUGGUUCAUGGACCAAUAGGUUCACUGAUUGCUCGGGAGAUUGAAAUGAGAUACUCCUUCAAAGUUGCUGUGAAAGUCCCGUAAGAUGAAGCUGUGGGCUCCAUGUCCCCUGUCUCCAGUGGAGAAUCAACAUCACAAGCUACAGGUGCUUUAGAGAAGAAAAUUUACAGCCAGUUGAAAC